CCUACGUGAGGCAGCAGUGAGGAAUAUUGGUCAAUGGGCUAAGGCCUGAACCAGCCAAGUCGCGUGAGGGAAGACGGUCCUAUGGAUUGUAAACCUCUUUUGUCGGGGAGCAACGAGGCCACGUGUGGCCGAAGUGAGAGUACCCGAAGACAACGCAUCGGCUAACUCCGUGCCAGCAGCCGCGGUAAUACGGAGGAUGCGUGGGUUAUCCGGAUUUAUUGGGUUUAGAGGGUGCGUAGGCGGAACGUUAAGUCAGCGGUAAAAGCGAGGGGCUCAACCCCUUUAAGCCGUUGAAACUGGUGAUCUGGAGUGGGCUAGAAGGAGGCGGAAUGCGUGGUGUAGCGGUGAAAUGCAUAGAUAGCACGCAGAACUCCGAUUGCGAAGGCAGCAGACCGGCGCCCGACUGACGCUGAGGCACGAAAGCGUGGGGAUCGAACAGGAUUAGAUACCCUUGUAGUC
rnacentral:rRNA from 1 species